AUUGAACGCUGGCGGCAGGCCUAACACAUGCAAGUCGAGCGGAGAGGCGGAAGGGUGAGUAUUGCCUAGGAAUCUGCCUGGUAGUGGGUGAUAACGUCCGGAAACAGGCGCUAAUACCGCAGACUAUAAGAUGAGCCUAGGUCGGAUUAGCUAGUUGGUGGGGGAAAGGCCUACCAAGGCGAAGAUCCGUAACUGGUCUGAGAGGACGAUCAGUCACACGGGAACGGAGACACGGUCCAGACGCCUACGGGAGGCAGCAGUGGGGAAUAUUGGACAAUGGGUGAAAGCCUGAUCCAGCCAUGCCGCGUGUGGGAAGAAGGUCUUCGGAUUGUAAAGCACGUUAAGUUGGGAGGCGUUACCAACAGAAUAAGCACCGGCUAACUUCGUGCCAGCAGCCGCGGUAAUUC
rnacentral:rRNA from 1 species